rnacentral:rRNA from 1 species
GCAGUUGAGCGCUGAAGGUUGGUACUUGUACCGACUGGAUGAGCAGCGAACGGGUGAGUAACGCGUGGGGAAUCUGCCUUUGAGCGGGGGACAACAUUUGGAAACGAAUGCUAAUACCGCAUAAAAACUUUAAACACAAGUUUUAAGUUUGAAAGAUGCAAUUGCAUCACUCAAAGAUGAUCCCGCGUUGUAUUAGCUAGUUGGUGAGGUAAAGGCUCACCAAGGCGAUGAUACAUAGCCGACCUGAGAGGGUGAUCGGCCACAUUGGGACUGAGACACGGCCCAAACUCCUACGGGAGGCAGCAGUAGGGAAUCUUCGGCAAUGGACGAAAGUCUGACCGAGCAACGCCGCGUGAGUGAAGAAGGUUUUCGGAUCGUAAAACUCUGUUGGNAGAGAANAANGUUGGUGAGAGUGGAAAA